rnacentral:rRNA from 1 species
AGACCUCUAAUCGGAA